rnacentral:rRNA from 1 species
CCUACGGGAUGCACCAGUGGGGAAUAUUGGACAAUGGGCGAAAGCCUGAUCCAGCAAUGCCGCGUGUGUGAAGAAGGUCUUCGGAUUGUAAAGCACUUUGACGGGGACGAAGAUGACGGUACCCGUAGAAGAAGCCCCGGCUAACUUCGUGCCAGCAGCCGCGGUAAUACGAAGGGGGCUAGCGUUGCUCGGAAUGACUGGGCGUAAAGGGCGCGUAGGCGGUUUAUGCAGUCAGAUGUGAAAUCCCCGGGCUUAACCUGGGAACUGCAUUUGAGACGCAUAGACUAGAGGUCGAGAGAGGGUUGUGGAAUUCCCAGUGUAGAGGUGAAAUUCGUAGAUAUUGGGAAGAACACCGGUGGCGAAGGCGGCAACCUGGCUCGAUACUGACGCUGAGGCGCGAAAGCGUGGGGAGCAAACAGGAUUAGAUACCCGGGUAGUC